rnacentral:lncRNA from 1 species
CCUUGAGGAGAAGGCUGGGCCAAAGCCUUUGUUGGCAGAGCCAGCACAGACGCUGCCACGCUGGCUGUCUGCCUCACGCUGCCUCCGGGGUCUCCUAGCAACUAUGCACUAAUAGCCAGGCUCUGCAUAAGCAGAGCCGGAUGCUGUCUUUGGAGCCCUCACCCCCCCAUCUCCUUGCAAACCUUGUCUGGAUUGCUCCAGGCACCAUAUACCAGAUCCUGGAGAUCUGCAUGCUCCGCAGGAGGACGGCACCUACCUCCCCACUUGCUAGCUCUGUGGAGACUUCUGUGCACCUUCAGAACUGAUGAGGGAAAGGGCUAGAAAAUGGACAGCAACUAAUGGAGUGAAGGACUGUCAACCCAAAGAAAGGACAGCCUCUUAUAGCUCUUUUCCUUACCCAUGAAGAUAACACAGGUAAUAUCUGUAUUAUAUCCAGGUUAUUAUGCAAAAAGA